rnacentral:rRNA from 1 species
UUAAGUUAUUAAGGGCGCACGGUGGAUGCCUUGGCACUAGAAGCCGAUGAAGGACGUUACUAACGACGAUAUGCUUUGGGGAGCUGUAAGUAAGCUUUGAUCCAGAGAUUUCCGAAUGGGGAAACCCAGCAUGAGUUAUGUCAUGUUAUCGAUAUGUGAAUACAUAGCAUAUCAGAAGGCACACCCGGAGAACUGAAACAUCUUAGUACCCGGAGGAAGAGAAAGAAAAUUCGAUUCCCUUAGUAGCGGCGAGCGAAAUGGGAAGAGCCCAAACCAACAAGCUUGCUUGUUGGGGUUGUAGGACACUCUAUACGGAGUUACAAAGGACGACAUUAGACGAAUCAUCUGGAAAGAUGAAUCAAAGAAGGUAAUAAUCCUGUAGUCGAAAAUGUUGUCUCUCUUGAGUGGAUCCUGAGUACGACGGAGCACGUGAAAUUCCGUCGGAAUCUGGGAGGACCAUCUCCUAAGGCUAAAUACUCUCUAGUGACCGAUAGUGAACCAGUACCGUGAGGGAAAGGUGAAAAGCACCCCGGAAGGGGAGUGAAAUAGAACCUGAAACCGUGUGCUUACAAGUAGUCAGAGCCCGUUAAUGGGUGAUGGCGUGCCUUUUGUAGAAUGAACCGGCGAGUUACGAUUUGAUGCAAGGUUAAGCAGUAAAUGUGGAGCCGUAGCGAAAGCGAGUCUGAAUAGGGCGUUUAGUAUUUGGUCGUAGACCCGAAACCAGGUGAUCUACCCUUGGUCAGGUUGAAGUUCAGGUAACACUGAAUGGAGGACCGAACCGACUUACGUUGAAAAGUGAGCGGAUGAACUGAGGGUAGCGGAGAAAUUCCAAUCGAACCUGGAGAUAGCUGGUUCUCUCCGAAAUAGCUUUAGGGCUAGCCUCAAGUGAUGAUUAUUGGAGGUAGAGCACUGUUUGGACGAGGGGCCCCUCUCGGGUUACCGAAUUCAGACAAACUCCGAAUGCCAAUUAAUUUAACUUGGGAGUCAGAACAUGGGUGAUAAGGUCCGUGUUCGAAAGGGAAACAGCCCAGACCACCAGCUAAGGUCCCAAAAUAUAUGUUAAGUGGAAAAGGAUGUGGCGUUGCCCAGACAACUAGGAUGUUGGCUUAGAAGCAGCCAUCAUUUAAAGAGUGCGUAAUAGCUCACUAGUCGAGUGACACUGCGCCGAAAAUGUACCGGGGCUAAACAUAUUACCGAAGCUGUGGAUUGUCCUUUGGACAAUGGUAGGAGAGCGUUCUAAGGGCGUUGAAGCAUGAUCGUAAGGACAUGUGGAGCGCUUAGAAGUGAGAAUGCCGGUGUGAGUAGCGAAAGACGGGUGAGAAUCCCGUCCACCGAUUGACUAAGGUUUCCAGAGGAAGGCUCGUCCGCUCUGGGUUAGUCGGGUCCUAAGCUGAGGCCGACAGGCGUAGGCGAUGGAUAACAGGUUGAUAUUCCUGUACCACCUAUAAUCGUUUUAAUCGAUGGGGGGACGCAGUAGGAUAGGCGAAGCGUGCGAUUGGAUUGCACGUCUAAGCAGUAAGGCUGAGUAUUAGGCAAAUCCGGUACUCGUUAAGGCUGAGCUGUGAUGGGGAGAAGACAUUGUGUCUUCGAGUCGUUGAUUUCACACUGCCGAGAAAAGCCUCUAGAUAGAAAAUAGGUGCCCGUACCGCAAACCGACACAGGUAGUCAAGAUGAGAAUUCUAAGGUGAGCGAGCGAACUCUCGUUAAGGAACUCGGCAAAAUGACCCCGUAACUUCGGGAGAAGGGGUGCUCUUUAGGGUUAACGCCCAGAAGAGCCGCAGUGAAUAGGCCCAAGCGACUGUUUAUCAAAAACACAGGUCUCUGCUAAACCGUAAGGUGAUGUAUAGGGGCUGACGCCUGCCCGGUGCUGGAAGGUUAAGAGGAGUGGUUAGCUUCUGCGAAGCUACGAAUCGAAGCCCCAGUAAACGGCGGCCGUAACUAUAACGGUCCUAAGGUAGCGAAAUUCCUUGUCGGGUAAGUUCCGACCCGCACGAAAGGCGUAACGAUUUGGGCACUGUCUCAACGAGAGACUCGGUGAAAUCAUAGUACCUGUGAAGAUGCAGGUUACCCGCGACAGGACGGAAAGACCCCGUGGAGCUUUACUGUAGCCUGAUAUUGAAAUUCGGCACAGCUUGUACAGGAUAGGUAGGAGCCUUUGAAACGUGAGCGCUAGCUUACGUGGAGGCGCUGGUGGGAUACUACCCUAGCUGUGUUGGCUUUCUAACCCGCACCACUUAUCGUGGUGGGAGACAGUGUCAGGCGGGCAGUUUGACUGGGGCGGUCGCCUCCUAAAAGG